rnacentral:lncRNA from 1 species
AGACCAGGANCGGGAGGGUCAAGCAACAAUCUUAGGGCCCCCCUUUUCAGGCCUUAUAUAGCCCACUGCAGCGGCUCCGAUCAGGUAGCCUAAACGAUCAGACGAGCCGGGGUUCGCCACGUGGCGGGCCUUAAGACGGCCUCAACAAAUCUUCCCGAAUUGCCACACUAAAUGUUGAUCAUUAUGGAGGGCACUCCGGAGCUCGAAACAUUGAUGGAUGGCCUCUUGCAUUCCAUCAGGCGAGACGCUUUGGAGAAGGGAGCAUUAAUGGCCGGCUUCUUGCAUUCCGCCAGACGAGAUGCUUCGGGGGGUAGGGUAUUAAUGGUCGAAACCCUCCUCGUCCUAUUCCUGCAACCCCUCAGAAAAGAACGCCCACAUGGAACACCAAAAAAUUCCUACAGCGGAUUCUACUCAGGAAAAUGUGGUGGCUUAAGCCUCCCAAGUCCGACGACGAGCUUCCAGCUAUAAAAUGUGCCGAGGUAUAUCUAGCUUGGUAUGCG